CCUGAAUCCACCCCUGAAUGGCCUUGCCACCAGGCAGUACACGAUCAGCUGGACCACAUCCAUGACCACAGGUUCGAUCCCUGAUCCUGGAAGAUCCCACGUGCCGUGGAGCAGCUAAGCCUGUGCGCCACAGCUCUGGAGCCUGUGCUCUGAAGCCCAGAAGCCGCAACUACGGAGCCCACAUGCAGCAGCUACUGACACAAGCGUGCCCUCGAGCCUCUGCUCCACAAGAGAAGCCACUGCAAAGACAGGGCACUGCGGCUGGAGAGUAGCUCUCACUCGCUGCAACUCGAGAAAAGCCCAAGCAGCAACGAAGAUCCAGCACAGCCAAAAACAGAUAAAAUCUUGAAACAAGAACAGAAUUGACUUGGUGGGAGAGUCAUGAUGCUUUCAAAGAAUUAAUACAAGAUGAGAUUAGGUGCCUAAUGAUCAUGAGAUGUGUGUAGGAGAGAGGGAGAGAAGGAUCAGGGUGGGUAGGGUGGAAUUUAUCAAAGGGAGUGAGCUGGUUUUCCACUGAUUGGAGCCCCUCAAGGUAUUUCAGAGGAGGUAGAUGAUCCGGGACCAUAUUUAUUCUCUGUCUUUACUGCCAGGAAGAGCUUUGUUUUCAGAGCCCUGCUUGCCUAUGGAAUUCGAUCUAUGGGUAUAAUCAUUUCACCUCGGGAUGUCCCAAGACACAAACACAGAUGUGAAUAUUAGCUCCACAUUCUCCCAAAAGAAGGCCUGUGGGUUUUGCUUUCAUAAUAACUCUUAGCAGAUUUCAUCGUAGAAAAUACUGUGCUGCACUCACAGAGCCCAACAGAGCCUGAGAAAUUGCUACGGUUGCCACAGAGGAGAUCACACGGCAGCCUGUGGACACAGUCCAUAGGCUCACAUGUUCGACCCCACAGUACAGUUAAGAAUGGGGGUCUCAGAAUAAUUCAGUCUGGUUCCCGGACUGGUUCCUCACUGGCAACUUUGCAUUACUUGGAUAAUUGUUUAACACUCUAUCUUCCCUAUGUAAAAUAGUCAAAGGCCUAAAAAUCUUAGGGUAGAUGCUGUUUGGGCUUCCCAGAUGGCUCAGCAGUAAAGAAUUUGCCUGCUGUGCAGGAGACUCAGGAGACAUUGGUUGGGAAGAUCCAUUCCCAUUGCCUGAGUUGAGAAGAUCCCCUGGAGGAGGGCAUGGCAACCCACUCCAGUAUUGUUGCCUGGAAAACCCCAUGGACAGAGGAAACUGGUGAGCUACAGUCCAUGGGGUCACAAAGAGUCAGACACGACUGAGCGUGCACACAUGCUUAAUUCAACAG
ensembl:lncRNA